AUUUAUGGAAUGUAAGGGCUCUGCUCUGAGCUUGUCUUCAUAGGUCUGUGAAGAAGUUGCUCCCAGGACCCUUUGUGGGAAGAAAGAAGUUAGGAUGAAAGGCCUAUUGAAAAGCCAUUGCUGCUCUCACCUCCCUGGGAGCACACAUUAGGUCUUGUCCCAACAGGGAAGCUCUAGGACCUCUACAGGCUGACAAAGCCAUAUAUUCACAAACACUGAGUGAUAUGGAGAAUAUAGACCGAGAAACUCUUUGCCCUAAAAUAUCCAGGAAGUCAUGUUCAUGGCAUACUCUACGCAUGAGAAAGCGGGCGGAAGUGGAGAACACGGGUAAAAAUGAAGCCACAGGGCCUCGUAAACCCAAGGAUAUUCUGGGCAACAAAGUCUCUGUUAAAGAGACGAACAGUUCCGAGGAAUCAGAGUGUGAUGAUCUUGACCCUAAUACUAGCAUGGAGGUAGAAGCAGCUAUUGUUGUCCUAUUUCCUACAAUGAUUGCCUUUUUUGAUGUGUUCUGUAACAGUGACCUUGCUAAAAUGACCAGCCGUUCAAAGAUAAAUUGUGAUGUUGGGGCAUCUCUGGGUAUCCCAUCCCAGCUAUAAAAGAAACAAACAGAAACAUAAUUCAGUUCAGUGUUGGUAGAAAACUCUACCUAGAUUUUUUUAAAAACAAAAACUUGUUCUCUUGAA
rnacentral:sRNA from 1 species